rnacentral:rRNA from 1 species
GACGAACGCUGGCGGCGUGCUUAACACAUGCAAGUCGAACGGAAAGGCCCUGCUUUUGUGGGGUGCUCGAGUGGCGAACGGGUGAGUAACACGUGAGUAACCUUCCCUUGACUUUGGGAUAACUUCAGGAAACUGGGGCUAAUACCGGAUAGGAGCUCCUGCUGCAUGGUGGGGGUUGGAAAGUUUCGGCGGUUGGGGAUGGACUCGCGGCUUAUCAGCUUGUUGGUGGGGUAGUGGCUUACCAAGGCUUUGACGGGUAGCCGGCCUGAGGGGGUGACCGGGCAAAUUGGGACUGGGAUACGGCCCAGACUCCUACGGGAGGCAGCAGUGGGGAAUAUUGGACAAUGGGCGGAAGCCUUAUGCAGCAACGCCGGGGUGGGGAAGACGGCCUUCGGGUUGGAAACCGCUUUCGCCUGGGACGAAGCGGGAGUGACGGUAAUGGGUAAAGAAGCACCGGCUAACUACGUG